GUGCUGUGUGCCCCUCAUCAGAUGUUCCCCAGGAAAUGCGAGCACCCUCUGGGGAAAGGUCAGCAGCCACUAGAGGGAGCCAGACAUCCUGGACGGCCCUCCGCCCCACCUGUGCCUUGCUGGGCACACAGAGGCUCUGCCCUGUGAGCCUCUUCUUGCACCCCGCCUCCCCACAAGCUGUUGUCCCUGCCCCCAAGGGAGACGAGGUUCACACUCAGCUCACUUCUGGCUGGCCCACUGGGCACCAUUCUGGUACCUGCUGACUGGUCUCUGGAAGACCCCCGGGCCUCCCUGCCCACCUCCCUGCCAGUCUGUGAUGUCCCAUCUUGAAGCCAGUGCAGCUCUGAUUCAGGAUGGACGGGGUGGGAGCUGCUGGUGUGACAAGAGCCCGAUAACUGCAGGGCAGGAGGGCAGGGGGUCACGCUGUGAGCAGCCAUGUGGAGGCCUGAGGAUGGGGGCCAAUGGGUCCAGGAAUAGCGGCCAGACCACUAAACACUCUGGCUAAGGGUCACCUCUAGGCCCCCUUGCCCACGUGCUUCCCCUCUGUCCUGAGACCACCCCAUACUCAGUCACUUCCCAUCAUCCAAGUGCCCGUCUACCUCCGGCCUCUGGCCAAUGCAGGGCCCACUCCUGUCCUGAGAGGCCUUACCUGUUGGGGUUGGGGAAGAGACUGCCACCAGACAGAAGUAGCCAGGGGAGCAGGGUGCAGAGGGGGCAGCAAGGCCAGACACACCACAGAAAUGGCCAGAGGGGCAGGGUAGGCACUCUGAGGCCGUGGAGAGAAGCAUCCUGGGACACAGAGAGCGAGUGCGGGUCAGUGGGAAAGGAGGCCCUUAGGGUAGAGAGGCUAUGUCCCGGCGAGAGACCCGCCCUUCUGGGGCUGCCUUCUCAUUUCUCCUUGUUGAGGCUCCCUGGGCUUCCUCGCGCUCCCAUGCGCGGUCCAAGGUGGCGUCUGGGUGUGCUGGGUCUCUCUCUCCUAAGAUAGGCUCCUGGUUAGUUUCCUUGUCAUCUUAAUCCCCAGUUCAGAGUCAGGCUGUCCAGGGCCGCAGACCCCUGGUCUGGCAGCUGCAGUCAGAAUGUCCAGCAGCCUUUCAGCCACGGGUUCCUCAGCUGCCUCAUUCUGCGGUGCCCUUGCUUGGGGGUUGGGCAGUUCCUAAAGGUGGGAGAUGGGGCUCUACUCUCAAAUGAGGUGCAGGCAGACACACAGGCUUCUUCCUGGUUUGCUCCUCAGGCCUGACACGUUCUCAAGCGGCCAGCAGCCAGCACCGUCUGCCCUGAUUCUGACCAUCGUGCUCCCCGUCCCUCCGCUGCUGCUCAGGGGGUUCCUGCCCUUGGAGGCCAGGCAGAAGUCCUGCUCUCUGAGGUCCAUGUUCCUCCAUGGCGGAGGGACAUCAUUGGUGAGACAGAUAGAUGGUCACUGUGGGAAGGAAGACCAGGAAGACUGCCCCUUGGACCUGGGGCAGUGGCACUCACCGAUCUGAGAAGGUGCCCACAGGGCAGGGCAGGGGCACCCCCGUGCCCUCUGGACAGAAGUGGCCUGGAGGGCAGGGCCCCCCUGCCGUGCCACAAAAGGCUCCAUGGGAGUGGGUGACAUCAGCUCCUGCCCAAAGUCAGGAGGGGGUGAGGUCACAGAGCAACUCCUCCUCAGCCCAAAGCCCCCACCUCGACCCCCCUCAACCACAGGACGUUUCCUGGAGAUUGAAAACUGGAGUGACAGCACCCUCCACUGCCAGGGUGGCGCUCAAGUCCAGGGUGCCACCCAAUCCUCACCUCCAAGGGACUUUGGGUGGGGCUCCAGACUAUGGAGACGGGAAGACGAGGGCAGAGUGACGCAUCUUUAAACGUCUGUGAUCUUGCAGUUUGCGUCAAAGUCAUCUCCACAGCCCUAAGGACACUGAUGUGACAAGGGAGGGGUUCUCUCCAGGAAUCAUUGGAUCACAGGGUGGGAACUGCCUGGCAGCUCCUGCUGCAUCUGCCGACUGAGUCCAGCAGCCCUGGGCAGGGCAGUGGGGGAGAGGCCCUGUCCACAGCGGUGCCUUGCCAGGGCUUCCGCAGUUGCGUUUACUUUCAGUAAUGAGUGGGAGCCGGAAGCUGACAUUAGAACUUUGGCGCUUUCCUUACUGUCUCGUGUUUUCAUGGCCCUGUUUGAUGGCUGAGGUUCCUCCAGCUCUGCCCCUGCAGUAGUGUCAUCCUAUCUUCAGUGGGAGCUCCCUGUCACCCUUGGGCAGUGAGCCCCAGAGGGCAGGAGCUGGGCCUUCACCUUCUGGACAGGCCAGUCUGGUGGGGCAAAUCUCACAGUGCGACAGGUUGGAGAGGUUGGUGCGGUUGCUGAAGGUCCCAGGUGGGCAGGCGUGGCGGGGAGUGUGCAGACAGGAGCCCACAAGGCACACAUACCUACGACACCCAUGGAGUUGGAGCCAGAUGGCACUACAGGAGCGAAUACAUGUGGUAACACUUGGUGCAGAGCCUGACAUCCAGUAGAUGCUCCAGCCCCAUCCUACCAGCGCCUGGAACCCUGCCCCGUGCUUGGGGCCCUUCCUCACUGCCAGACCCAUUCUUCCAAGGUGGGAGGAGACAUUGUUGAUGGUGGUGAUUGUGAAGACAACAGGAGCUCUUUGCUGAUCACUCACUAGGUGCCAAGCUCAGUGCAAGGCCCUUUCCAUAGGCUGUCUCGCCUGAUGUUCACAACAGCCUUAUGAGGCAAAUAUUACUGCCUUUCUUUUAAAGAUGAGGCUCAGAGAGGAAGUACAACUACUUUACUAUGAAGGAAGAUUUUCCUCCACACCUGGCAACAGCUCAGCCAAUGAGAAAUGCUGCAGCCCAGCCAAUCAGAAACGCCACAGCUCAGCCAAUGAGAAAUGCUACAGCCCAACCCAUCAGAAACUCUACGGCCCAGCCAAUGACAAAUGCUGCAGCCCAGCCAAUCAGAAAUGCCACAGCUCAGCCAAUGAGAAAUGCUGCAGUCCAACCCAUCAGAAACUCUACAGCCCAGCCAAUGAGAAAUGCUGCAGCCCAGCCAAUCAGAAACGCCACAGCUCAGCCAAUGAGAAAUGCCACAGCUCAGCCAAUCAGAAAUGCUACAGCCCAGCCAAUGAGAAAUGCUGGAGCCCAGCCAAUGAGAAACACCACAGCUCAGCCAAUAAGAAGCCAUUUCCGCCCUGAAGUGUUACUUCCCCCAAUGGACUUUCCUUUAGAACAGCGGCUACCUACUCCCCUUCUCUAUAAAAGCAGCUCCCCUCCUUUGUUUUCUGGAUUUACCUAUGGUUUCCCAUAGCAUGCACAUCCCCAAUUGUAAUUCUUUC
ensembl:lncRNA